rnacentral:lncRNA from 1 species
GGAAAUCUUAUUACCAAAGUUUACAAGUUACAAAAAUUUUACAUUAGUUUAUCGAAGUGAUUACAAAAGUAUAAGUUUGAAAUAUAUAUGCUAGCUCAAGGGAUCAUCCUCAAUAAGAAGUAUAGAAGGGUUACUUAGGCUUAUAAGAAGGCCGAGCCCACCGGCACUUAACACCAUCAACAACAGCACAAAGUUAGAACCUGAAAAACAACAGGGAAUAAAACCCUGAGUAUGGAAUUACACAGCAAGUCUUACCCGACUAAAGAAAAGACUCUCAAAGGUAUGUUGGUUAAGGGAGUCAAGGUAAGGCUUCUCAAUAAUCAAAGACUCUGUUUUGCAGAAAUGCUUACUAAAAGUGGAUCCUUAAAAAUCCAGUUUUAUUUGUCAAGUUAAGUAAAAUUACCUGCACUAGAGUUCUUUCUACCCUAGUUCAAUCACUGGACCUGUACUAGCCAAUUUCUUAACAAACCCAUCAUCUUUACUGGAUUGCUACGUGUAAGUCAGUGACCAAGUCUUCAUAACCACGAAGGUACGGCAAUCCGAAUCGAUUAUACUCAGCUGAGGAUCUCCAAUCACACGACAUAUGUAGCACUUAACCCUUGCAUAUGUCAACCCGCCACCGGGGUUCUUAAGACCAGAUCAGGUUCACGCGAACCGAGAGCACAGAUACACCACCGUCCAGCCUCUUGUCACGGAGGGUACACACUACUCUUGCCACCGCUCCAGGCCCAUUCCGUGUUAUCUUAUUCUGGCCUUAGUCUGCCCGAGGCAAGGCUUACCCAUGACGAGGCAUGUGACCAGUUAAAGGGUCCCCGGUCAGCAGGCCUACAUCGAGACGGUCCUUAAUCGACUCAGACGGAGACACUACAUCGAGACUCCUUUCUCGUUCAAGUCACCCGCCCGGUCUCAGCUUAAUCAUUUCAAACCCAAAGUUUGGUACCUGGCAGAGGUACAUCUUUUCCGAUGUUGAACCCAUCAAGGCCUUGAUGGAUCCACCAUCAAAUUUUAUUUUCGAAAACAUCCCACCCACUUUUGCCACAUCAUCUUUUGUAAAAACAAAACAUUUUGUUUUUCUAAAGCAAGGCUAAGCAUCAAAAUCUUUUGUAAAAUGGGUGAUCAAGGAAGGUAAUCAAAUUCAAGGAAGGUAAUGCAGGAAUUGUUUUAUCAAUCAACUUCUAUCACCUAAUGCAUCAAGCAAGUGAGAAAGAUUUUAAAAACAUCAAGGAGGGUGGCAAAUGCAUCGGGGCUUGCCUGAGUAACACUAGGUUAGUGUUGUUAGACGACGUUCGCUUGACGAGCAGCCUUUGUCUUGGUACUUGAUCGGGUUAUCCAUCUGCAUCAUCCUGCGGGUUAGCCCACGCUUGGGGUCGACUUGGCUCGUCUUCCGCAUCACGCGAUUAUUUAUCGUACCUCAUGAGAUGCACGAUGCACAUGUAUGAGCACAUGUAUAACAAGUAUAAUAUAGAUAAUCUACACUAAAAAGGAUGAAACACUUAAAACCAAGCUUUAAGCACCAUGGAUAUCACAGCAGGGCAUCGACUACAUCCAUUAAUCAAAUUGACAUAAUAACACUGGAAUAUCUAUUUUUAUUCCUAUCUUUUUAUUAACUCUUUAAAUUGUGUAUCUUAAUUACUUGAUUUAUCGAUUUAUCUAAAUCGAUCAUCACAAUAUACACAUGCUAAAUUAAUAACAUUUAUUGUGACCAAUAAUUCUAUUUAAUCUAUUUAUAGACUUAAUUGACUGGAAUACGAAUUAACUUACCCUUAUUAAAUUCGACGUGAAAUCACGAAAUCGACGACGCCUUUCAGCUCAGCAUUUCACCGAAAAUAGGGUGAGUGCUGCGUCGAAUCGCGCUACAUCUUUAUCCGCAUCGAGAAUUCUCCGGCCGCGUACCGAUUGAUUUUCUUCUGCGCCUAAUCUUCUCAGAGCUUGGCGUAGACGAGGAUGACGAUCGACGACUUGUUCGAGCUGUUGUCGAGCACUUGGUGAAUCUCACGCUGUUAGCUUCGUCUUCACCCGAUUCUUGGGUUUUUUGGUGACUUGCGGACGACGAGAUCGUGUUUAGAGCGAGCUGGCGAGGUGGGGGUUGAGCAAGGGAUGACGGGUUCGACGACUCGAUUGGGAAUUAAAGCCGAGCGAGCUGAGAGGGCACACUGGCAGGCAGAAAACAGGACACGACUGCGUGCAGAGGAGAACUCGGCACGACGAGGGACAACUAAACGCGUCGCGCGCGACAAGGAAGCAGAAAACCACGACAAGGGUGCGCGACGCGCAGACAGGGCGAGCUGGGAAC